rnacentral:tRNA from 9 species
GGAAAAGUCUUCCAUUUGGUAGGGUAAGGCACUUGCUACGUGCUAUGUUUUUAACAUUUAGGUGUUCAAAUCACCUCUUUUCCG